rnacentral:rRNA from 1 species
CACGUAGGGUGCGAGCGUUAAUCGGAAUUACUGGGCGUAAAGCGCGCGCAGGCGGCUUUUUAAGUCCGACGGUGAAAUGCCGGGGCUCAACCCAGUGCCCGCCGCGGAUACUGGGAAGCUGGAGACGAGUAGAGGCAAGCGGAAUUCCGGGUGUAGCGGUGGAAUGCGUAGAGAUCCGGAAGAACACCGGAGGCGAAGGCGGCUUGCUGGGCUCGGUCUGACGCUGAGGCGCGAAAGCGUGGGGAGCGAACAGG